UACGUAGGGUCCGAGCGUUGUCCGGAAUUACUGGGCGUAAAGCGUGCGCAGGCGGCUUUCCAAGCGCCACGUGAAAGCCCCGGGCUCAACCCGGGAGGGUCGUGGCGAACUGGGAGGCUUGAGGCCGGUAGAGGUGGGUGGAACUCCUGGUGGAGUGGUGAAAUGCGUAGAUAUCUGGAAGAACACCAAUGGCGAAGGCAAUGUUCUGGCUCGUUUCUGACGCUCAGGUGCGAAAGCCAGGGGAGCGAACGGG
rnacentral:rRNA from 1 species